AACGCAACUUGCGCCUCUUACGAGGCAUGUUUGUUUGAGUGCCGUAAUCCUCUGCAGCAAUGCGAUCUGACUCUUGUCUUUGUUGACCGAGUUUAAAGGGAGCUAGAGGAUGGUCAGUUUAGACUAGCCCGAGUGCUAAGCAUUCUUGGGUCUAGCGCUGGAUUGCUCAUUUCAUCUAUUUUUUAAUUUGGCCUCAAAUCAAGCAAGACUACCCGCUGAACUUAA
rnacentral:misc_RNA from 1 species